AGAGUUUGAUCCUGGCUCAGGACGAACGCUGGCGGCGUGCCUAAUACAUGCAAGUCGAGCGCGGGAAGCAAGCUGAUCCUCUUCGGAGGUGACGCUUGUGGAACGAGCGGCGGACGGGUGAGUAACACGUGGGCAACCUGCCUGUAAGACUGGGAUAACCCCGGGAAACCGGGGCUAAUACCGGAUAAUACUUUUCAUCACCUGAUGGAAAGUUGAAAGGUGGCUUCUUGCUACCACUUACAGAUGGGCCCGCGGCGCAUUAGCUAGUUGGUGAGGUAACGGCUCACCAAGGCAACGAUGCGUAGCCGACCUGAGAGGGUGAUCGGCCACACUGGGACUGAGACACGGCCCAGACUCCUACGGGAGGCAGCAGUAGGGAAUCUUCCGCAAUGGACGAAAGUCUGACGGAGCAACGCCGCGUGAGUGAUGAAGGUUUUCGGAUCGUAAAGCUCUGUUGUUAGGGAAGAACAAGUGCCGUUCGAAUAGGGCGGCACCUUGACGGUACCUAACCAGAAAGCCCCGGCUAACUACGUGCCAGCAGCCGCGGUAAUACGUAGGGGGCAAGCGUUGUCCGGAAUUAUUGGGCGUAAAGCGCGCGCAGGCGGUCCUUUAAGUCUGAUGUGAAAGCCCACGGCUUAACCGUGGAGGGUCAUUGGAAACUGGAGGACUUGAGUACAGAAGAGGAGAGUGGAAUUCCACGUGUAGCGGUGAAAUGCGUAGAGAUGUGGAGGAACACCAGUGGCGAAGGCGACUCUCUGGUCUGUAACUGACGCUGAGGCGCGAAAGCGUGGGGAGCGAACAGGAUUAGAUACCCUGGUAGUCCACGCCGUAAACGAUGAGUGCUAGGUGUUAGGGGGUUUCCGCCCCUUAGUGCUGAAGUUAACGCAUUUAGCACUCCGCCUGGGGAGUACGGCCGCAAGGCUGGAAUUGACGGGGGCCCGCACAAGCGGUGGAGCAUGUGGUUUAAUUCGACGCAACGCGAAGAACCUUACCAGGUCUUGACAUCCUCUGCAAUCGGUAGAGAUACCGAGUUCCCUUCGGGGACAGAGUGACAGGUGGUGCAUGGUUGUCGUCAGCUCGUGUCGUGAGAUGUUGGGUUAAGUCCCGCAACGAGCGCAACCCUUGAUCUUAGUUGCCAGCAUUUAGUUGGGCACUCUAAGGUGACUGCCGGUGACAAACCGGAGGAAGGUGGGGAUGACGUCAAAUCAUCAUGCCCCUUAUGACCUGGGCUACACACGUGCUACAAUGGAUGGAACAAAGGGAAGCAAAACCGCGAGGUCAAGCAAAUCCCAUAAAACCAUUCUCAGUUCGGAUUGCAGGCUGCAACUCGCCUGCAUGAAGCCGGAAUCGCUAGUAAUCGCGGAUCAGCAUGCCGCGGUGAAUACGUUCCCGGGCCUUGUACACACCGCCCGUCACACCACGAGAGUUGGUAACACCCGAAGUCGGUGAGGUAACCUUUUGGAGCCAGCCGCCGAAGGUGGGACCAAUGAUUGGGGUGAAGUCGUAACAAGGUAGCCGU
rnacentral:rRNA from 1 species